UUUCUUUUCACUCUAAAAGGGAAAGGAGAUUUGGACCUCAGCUGUCCUUUGGGUAGAAAGAGAACACAGAGUCACUUCUGAGACUCUGUCAUCUCUGUAAGGCGUCUGGUAUCUGGAAAGUCUGAGUCUAUGUCUUCACAUCAUUCCUUCUUCUGAAGCCUUUUCUCUCUUACUGGGUGUUUCCAGCCACCUGUCUUCUUGUUUGAAGCGCAGAUUUUCUGACUUUUGUGGCAGUGAAUUGCAGCCUGUGCUGAAGUGGGUUUUAGUACUACUCAACUUCUUGUCCAUUCCUUGAAGAAACUGGAUUUUUAUAGUCUGAUUGUUUCAGUUGUUUGCCUUAGUCUUUUGCUUUGAAAUAAUUUUCCUGAGGUCAUAAAUUCAAGAAGAUGGGGUAUUUUAUUUACAACAAUGAUCUUAUUCCUUUUUAUAUUUUGUAUUUAUUAUAAUAUACAUUGUAUAUUAUUUGCUAUACGUACAGUGAUUAUAUUGCAAUAAAC